ensembl:lncRNA
CGGCGGCAGCUGCGAGGACCCGCGGGCUGACUGACUGAUGGGCGGACAGGCCAUGUCGUCCUGCACCUGCUGAACUGGAGCGCCCAAGGAUGUCUGCGUUGAGGAAGCACGUGGAAGUUCCCAGGCUAAGGAUCAAACCUGUGGCACAGCAGUGACCUGAAUCCCUGCAGCGACAACCCCGGAUCAUUAACCUGCUUCGCCACAGUGGUCUAGAGCGAACCCACAGCAUCUCUGCGAGGUUGUUCUCAGAAGUUAUUCUAAGAAGGAAAUCCAAGGGCUAGAAGCGCUUCUGCCAGUAGCUGGGAUGAAGACCAGUGAUACAUUUCUUAUUAUGUAACAAUAUCAUGUCCCAAUUCUAAGGACUGGAAGGGCUCUCCUCUGUACCAGGUGGAAAUGAUUGAUGAUAUCAACAAAGUACACCAAGAUCAAUUCACUUGUGUUAGAAGUUUGUGUAAGAGGAAAUAGCAUUUGAGGAGAAAUUGCAGUUACCUUCAUGCAGUUGUGUCAUGAUGUGUGAUUUAAAAAAAUAUUGACAUAUAUUAAUUUCAGGUGUACAACAUAAUGAUUUGAUAAUUGUAUAUAUUGUGAAAUGAUCAUGAUGAGUCUAGUUACCAUCUGCCACCAAUGUAGUUACCCUUUUUUUUUUCCUCGAGAUGAGAAUUUUAAUAUCCACUCUCUCAGCAGCUUCCAAAUAUAUAACCACAGUCACCAUGCUGUGUCUUACCUCCCAGGACUUAUUUAUUUUGUAACUGGAAAUUUGUACCUUUUGAUCCUGUGCAUGCAUUUGGCUUGUUUGUGAUUUAUGAUCUUUAAAGCACUUUCAGCCCAGGUAUGAAAAUAUGUGUAUUUAACCAUUUUUAAACUUUGUUAUUGAUUGGUCUUUAUUUUUACGUUGUCGCACAUCUGUUAAUGUUUCUACUACCAUUUUCUUUAACACUUCAUAUUUGUUAUUAAUAAGUACUAAAGCUUGGCUCAGUACACUUAAUAGGGUCAAAUUUAUAAAUGCAUUAAAUUAAUUGAAUAUUAAAAUUUUGUGUUAAAAUUUUUUGCUUAUAUUUUUCCAUCUUUAAAUGCCAUUUGCAUUUUUCUUUUUCUUUCUUGAGCAUUAUUAGUAAUGAGGUUUGAUUCCUAAUGAUACUUACAGAAGAGCAAAAAAAAAAAAAAAA